UAUAAGUAUAGUUGUGGGCUUCCGUAUCCAACGUUCAAUUGUCCGUCCUAUUUGAAAGAAAUAUGAUUAGUAUUUUUGUUGUUAUUAGAUGAUAAAACAUAAAUAAUACUUUAUGUGUGACUAUUUUUUUUUAAUUUUUUCAUAAGACGAAUAGUUAAAAGUUGUAUACGGAAACCCACAACUGCACUUAUA
rfam:Oryza meridionalis cultivar OR44 (W2112) chromosome 5, whole genome shotgun sequence.